UCCGUCGUUUAUUGAUGACGCUGACGUUGUCGUGUAGGUCGCUGUCUCUGUCUCUGUAUCACUAUCCCUGUCUCUGUCUCUGUCUGUGCCUCGGCCUCUGGCUAUGGCUCUGCCACUGCCAUUGCCUCUGCCUCUGCUUCUGCUGCAGCCGCUGCCUCUGUCGCUGCCGUCAGCCGGCUGCCUGUUGGCCCCUAUACCCGUCUGUCUGCCUGGCAGAUCCAUCAACAUGCGACCAUUUGGGCGAAGCUGCCUUGCAUUUAUUUGCUUUUGGAUAAUAAUAGGGCAGAGGCAGGCAUACGGCUUCUGAGUGGGCCUACUGUGUGUAUACAUGUGUGUAUGUGUGUAUUUAGCUUGUGUUGGUCUGAUAAGUGCCUGUAAGCGCCAUAGAACUCGUUGAACCCCUCUGAUCAAGCUUCUGCGUGGGCAUCAUCCUCUUCAUCAUGAAAGCCUCUUCAGCUUCGUAGGUAGCCAAUUCGCUGUUACGCACUUUGUGCUGGACACUUGGGUCGUCGUGCCGCAGUUUCAGUCUCUCGCCGCAGCCUCUUCGCAGUACUUGUAUUGUUUAUUGGACACAAUACAAAAACCCCUCCAUACAAAGGAGAGCAGGAACAAUGGAAGAAACAGCUUCGGGCCAGCCACCGCAUUGAGCAUCAGCUGUAGCACGCAAUGAACCAGGAAUGGAACGGUAAACGGUAAACAGCAGCAGCUACAAUAUAACCACAAGAUGGUUUUGUUAUGAGUCCACUUGGAUCAUCAAGCAAGAUAAAUUGCUCAGUGGUUAGCAACAUGCAACAUGCAACAUGACAACUGCAACCACAAAAUGACAAACAUCGCAUAAACCGCACUUCACAUAACUAGCAGAUGUCCGAUUAUGGGUUUGUUAAAAUUUAAUACAUAU